rnacentral:rRNA from 1 species
AACCCGACUCCGUGAAGCUGGAUUCGCUAGUAAUCGCGCAUCAGCCAUGGCGCGGUGAAUACGUUCCCGGGCCUUGUACACACCGCCCGUCAAGCCAUGGGAGCCGGGGGUGCUUGAAGUGCGUCGCCGCGAGGCGCGCCCUAGAGCAAAACCGGUGACUGGGGCUAAGUCGUAACAAGGUAAC